rnacentral:lncRNA from 11 species
CGGACACAUAUGAAACAGUUUAAUUCUGUACAUAUCCCAGGAAGUCAUACCCAACAGGCAACCUAUAAACCCUUGUUGAAGCAAGUGGUGGAAGAGAUAUAUAAUCCUGAUCGGCCUGACCCUGUUGAUAUUGAACAUAUGUCUUCUGGGCUCACGGAUCUUCUGAAGACAGG